AUCCAGCUGACGAGUCCCAAAUAGGACGAAACGCGCGCAUCCUAGAU
rfam:Schistosoma mansoni strain Puerto Rico chromosome 2, complete genome